CUACUUAUGAAUCCAUAUUCCAAAUCUCAUUCAUGUUACACACUUAUUGAAAUGCAGCGAUUUCUCUAUUUUGGUAUUAUAUAAUUGCCUUUUAUUUUUUUUUUAAGAUGUAUACACAUGGUUAUGCAUGUCCAGCAAUUUCAACCAAUUAUUAUGUAUAUGUUUUAGAUGGUAUGUGUCAUAUGGAUUUGUUUAAUUUACAGAACGUAUUGUAUCUGUUUGGUUACUUGUGAUAAUCAUUAUGUAAUCAUUAUAAGUAUUUUUUUUCC
rnacentral:lncRNA from 1 species